rnacentral:rRNA from 1 species
UACGUAGGUGGCAAGCGUUGUCCGGAAUACUGGGCGUAAAGCGUGCGCAGGCGGUUGUGUAAGUCUGUCGUGAAAUCCCCGGGCUCAACCUGGGAAUUGCGAUGGAGACUGCACGGCUAGAGUGUGUCAGAGGGGGGUAGAAUUCCACGUGUAGCAGUGAAAUGCGUAGAUAUGUGGAGGAACACCGAUGGCGAAGGCAGCCCCCUGGGAUAACACUGACGCUCAUGCACGAAAGCGUGGGGAGCAAACAGG